CAGGCCGUGACUCAGCAGUUCCCAUGCAUAUACCAAAGUAUCUGAAAGUACUUGCGCACAUUCGUUCAAAACUUCCUAUGCUGCAGCUUAUGUCCGUUUCCCCUAGACACUCUGGUGUGAAGCCCCACCUUCAUCUCCCUUGCUUACACGAAAAGCAAAAAGCACACAGAUAACUAGUAGCUCCCUAUUACUGCUGUGAAUAGCCCUUACUAAAAUGUCCAUCUCUGUUUUCAGAGAGAAGAAAAAUGACCUUUAAUCUGCUUGCUUUACAGGGACACUCUAACAUAUUAUGGAUAUUAAUUAUUUAACUUAUUAAUGAAUCCUACAGUGAGAUGAGAAGGAGAAGCGCAUAACAAACUGUAAUUUAAAGUGUCAUUUAAGUCCCUAGUUCGGAUCUAGAGUCCACAUGUGUAACUGCAGCGACUUCCAGGUGCCGCGGGGCCGCGCACAGCUGCAGCUCGUCGGGAGCCCCGGGCGGGACCCGCCCCAAAGCCUCCCAGAGCAUCUUAAGCUCAGCCGGAGGCUGCUGGGAGCCACGGCGGAGUUCCUGCGGCUCUGUGUGGGAGACGGAAUGGGCUCCGUUCGUUUGACCGGCCCUGCGGCUGAAAAGGGCUGCUUCUACGAGGGACUGCUUUUAAAAUAGAGCCUUGGGAUCCUCUUUAAUGUUCUCGUUGUGUCGUUUUGUUUCAGGCUGCUGUGGGAUCCUCACUCGCGGUGAGGAUCAGCCCAAACCGGCGAGCAGUUCUGGUAGUAAGGGGGACCGUGGAGGCGGCGGGCGUUCGGGAGCUGUUAGGAUCUCUUGGGCUGAAGCAGGAGGCUGCCGGGUUGUCGAACCCUGCUCUUCCCGGGGCCGGCGUAGGGCUGCUGCCAGGCUCCCCAGGCUGUUUGCAGCCGAAGUAGCGUCGUUGCCCGGCUCCCAUCGCGUUUUCGGAGGGGGCUGCCUCUCAGAUCCGAGUCCCAGCCCAGCCCCGUGGUGCUCUCCGGGGUGCUCACCUUCCCCCAGGUUGUUGUGGUUUUUUUUUUUUGUGUUUUAGCGGGUGCAUUAGUUCUUCCUGCUCUCAUGAAUAGGAGCAAGCAGAAUUGGAGCCGUAUUCCUAUAGCCUCAGUGCUGCUAGGAGUAAGAAGCAACGCAAACUGCUGCUGAAACAGAAGUUUUCUCCUCCUGCAGCCCUUGCUCAGCCUGCAAUAGAGCCUCUCGUCAGCCCGAGCUGGAAAGACAGAGUGGCAACGUGGUGGAGUUGCUCUUCCAGUGAGAGAACAGGAACAUACUGAGGUCUGCCUGGGGAUGUAUGAAGAACUAGUGGAGUACUUGCACUGCUGGCAACCACUGUGCCCUGUGGUCCCUUACUCAAAGAGCUGGUUAAUGGGAUUAUUACUCCCUGGGACAACUGAUAUCGAUUGAUUUGCUGCACGCUGAUCCUGUCACUUUCACGCUCAAAAAGCCUCUAACAGAUACAUCUGGAAGGCUCAAGAUGAUCAGGGGAAGAUGUAAAGUAACCAUCUGGAUUUCACCUGCCUUCCAACUGUGGUUCAUUUGGGACCAGAAAAGUUUCUCUUUGCUCUUGUCUCUUCUAGUUGAGCUUUCUCUAACCUUGGUUCUUCUGUGUAUGGGAACUGUUGAAUCAUGGCCUGAACCUCUGAUUGAUCACCCAAAACAAGUCAUAAGUCAACUGUGGCAGCACAGGUGAAGAUCACUCCUCUUGGAGUCUUUUUCUGUGAGCCCAGGACACAGUGACAACAGGCUUUGUGGCACUGGGUGGUGUGAGAAGAGGGAACAGUGCUUGGCUCAAACCUUGUUCAGAGGCAGCCAUCUGAUCCAUGAGAAGCUGGAGAAUGCUUGGCUCAGAGCCUGUUCAACGGCAUCCAUCCAAGGCAUGACCUGCCCAACAAGCUUUUGAAGUAAAUGGUUGACUACUGUGAGCACAGAGGUGAGAAGACAUGCGUUGUUCCUCCUGAUGAACAAAAGGUGGAUACCGUGGCAGCUACCAUCACCAUGAUGGACACGACAUGAUGACCCUGAUCACUGAGGUAGGCAGGCCUGAAGAGUUCUGAGGAAGAAUGGGUAAGUCAAUGAGAUGUUGCUGACCAACCUGCUUCCUUGCCAUGGACCAAUAAGACACUGUUGGAUUCCCUGGUGGUGACUAUUCCUGCUCUGUAAACUGUUUGCUAGAAUUUCUGUCUUUACUAUUGCUAACUUCCCUAUCUUUCCUGAAUUCCUUGGUAGUUUAGAGCCUCUAAUGCUGAUUAUGCUCUGAUUCCAGACUUGCUGCUUGUUCAUACUGGGAGGAAUUAUACAAUGGUGAAAAAAUUGUUAUUAAUAAUGUUUAUAUAUAUAUAUGGGGAAAAUAGCAAGAUUCAUUUUGAUAAAUGAUAAUCAAUCAUCAAGUUGGGAUAGUAAGGUAGUUUUCUACUAUUACAGGUAUUUUGUGGUCUGGUUUGAAAACCCAAGAGGGUAAAAAGGAAGAGGGGGAGUUGUGAGAGGUUGUCUUUUUUGCAGUGGCAAUUUCCAGUAUUCUGUAUGUAGCAUAAGGUAAGUUGUCUUUCACAAAGAAAGCUGCUGAGCACAGUAAAGCUGAGACUGGGGUGUUCUGGCAUAGGUAAAAUUGGCACAGGCACUAGGUAAGAUAAUUUUAUAGGCUAGGGGGGAGUCUGGUACAGGACAGAACUAGUGUACUAAUUGUUGAAAAUGUUGUCAUCCUCUUGCCAUAAAAGGUACAGGGCACACAAAGACAGUGGGUUGGUGACAGAUGUAUGGAAGCGUAAUGUAGCAACAGUGCUGGAAAGUUGUGAGCCUGAGACUAAACCAAGGAGUGCCAGGAGGCUUUACCUGCGUCAGACCCAUGGUGUUGAAGGAGCCAUUGAGAAGAGAGGUGUUGCUGGAGCUUGCUCUCCCUGUUGUAGAAGGACUCUUUGGGGACAGGAAGACCAGUGGUGGCCUCAAGUGUGGUAGGUGUGAGCUGCAGUGUUCAGUGUGGAAGAUGUGAAGCAAUGAGUAGAACUGAAACACUGAACUUUAAGGGAGCCAACUUUGUCUUCUUAAAGGAUCUAUGUGAAAGUACACCUGGGGUUAGAGCAUUGGAGGGGGUCCUGUGAGCAAUUGUUGAUGCUGGAGUGUUACUUCCUUGCUCAGGAGCUGUGCAUCCCAAACAGUGAAGAACUGAGCAGGAAUGGCAGGAGACCUGCAGGGGUGAAUGAGAACUCAUGGUUUAACUUGAAGGGGAGAAAGAAGAGAAGGGUUGUGGAAGGCUAAGGCCCUCUCAGUAUCACCUUUAGGAGGGAGGUCAAGACUAACAAAAGUUUGUCAACAGAGAAAAGGUGACUAGAGAAUGUGUGGGCCUCUGCUUUGCAAGGUGGAGAUUCUGGUAAUGGGGAUGCAUUUCUGUACUGGAUGCCUUUUUGUCUUCAGUUGUUGCUGCUGAGACUGCUUGUUGGGAACCCUGGAUUCUGGAGGAGCUGGUCAAAGCUCCCUAUCACACUUCCUCUGGUUUUUCCUACAGGAAAGGUGCCUGAAGACUGGAGGAUAGCUGAUGGCCCUGCAGGCUUUAGAGAGGGUGAGAAGCAUGGCCUCAUCUCUGGGAAGGUGAUGUGACAACUUGUUCCAGGUGUGUCAUCUGCAAGUGACCAGAAGAGAAAUGACUAAGGAGCAGAUGGG